rnacentral:rRNA from 1 species
AAAUUGAAGAGUUUGAUCAUGGCUCAGAUUGAACGCUGGCGGCAGGCCUAACACAUGCAAGUCGAACGGUAACAGRAAGCAGCUUGCUGYUUUGCUGACGAGUGGCGGACGGGUGAGUAAUGUCUGGGAAACUGCCYGAUGGAGGGGGAUAACUACUGGAAACGGUAGCUAAUACCGCAUAACGUCGCAAGACCAAAGA